UCCUACGGGAGGCAGCAGUAGGGAAUCUUCCGCAAUGGGCGAAAGCCUGACGGAGCAACGCCGCGUGAGUGAUGAAGGUCUUCGGAUCGUAAAACUCUGUUAUUAGGGAAGAACAAAUGUGUAAGUAACUAUGCACGUCUUGACGGUACCUAAUCAGAAAGCCACGGCUAACUACGUGCCAGCAGCCGCGGUAAUACGUAGGUGGCAAGCGUUAUCCGGAAUUAUUGGGCGUAAAGCGCGCGUAGGCGGUUUUUUAAGUCUGAUGUGAAAGCCCACGGCUCAACCGUGGAGGGUCAUUGGAAACUGGAAAACUUGAGUGCAGAAGAGGAAAGUGGAAUUCCAUGUGUAGCGGUGAAAUGCGCAGAGAUAUGGAGGAACACCAGUGGCGAAGGCGACUUUCUGGUCUGUAACUGACGCUGAUGUGCGAAAGCGUGGGGAUCAAACAGGAUUAGAUACCCUGGUAGUCCACGCCGUAAACGAUGAGUGCUAAGUGUUAGGGGGUUUCCGCCCCUUAGUGCUGCAGCUAACGCAUUAAGCACUCCGCCUGGGGAGUACGACCGCAAGGUUGAAACUCAAAGGAAUUGACGGGGACCCGCACAGGCGGUGGAGCAUGUGGUUUAAUUCGAAGCAACGCGAAGAACCUUACCAAAUCUUGACAUCCUCUGACCCCUCUAGAGAUAGAGUUUUCCCCUUCGUGGGACAGAGUGACAGGUGGUGCAUGGUUGUCGUCAGCUCGUGUCGUGAGAUGUUGGGUUAAGUCCCGCAACGAGCGCAACCCUUAAGCUUAGUUGCCAUCAUUAAGUUGGGCACUCUAAGUUGACUGCCGGUGACAAACCGGAGGAAGGUGGGGAUGACGUCAAAUCAUCAUGCCCCUUAUGAUUUGGGCUACACACGUGCUACAAUGGACAAUACAAAGGGUAGCGAAACCGCGAGGUCAAGCAAAUCCCAUAAAGUUGUUCUCAGUUCGGAUUGUAGUCUGCAACUCGACUAUAUGAAGCUGGAAUCGCUAGUAAUCGUAGAUCAGCAUGC
rnacentral:rRNA from 1 species